rnacentral:rRNA from 1 species
UACAGAGGUCUCAAGCGUUGUUCGGAUUCAUUGGGCGUAAAGGGUGCGUAGGCGGCGAGGCAAGUCUGGUGUGAAAUCCCGGGGCUCAACCCCGGAACUGCACUGGAUACUGCUUUGCUAGAGUACUGGAGAGGGAACUGGAAUUUACGGUGUGGCAGUGAAAUGCGUAGAUAUCGUAAGGAAGACCAGCGGCGAAGGCGAGUUCCUGGACAGUUACUGACGCUGAGGCACGAAGGCCAGGGGAGCAAACGGG